rnacentral:lncRNA from 1 species
AGAAAUGCCCAAUCGGAGAAGAAGAAGGUGAGAGCAAACCAGAAGAAGGGAGAGGAAGAAGCUGACCAAUCAGGGGACGGAAAGGAGGGAAAGGAGGGAAAGGAGGGAGAGUGGUGGCGCGGGGAACAGGAGGAAUGGGUCACCCUUGACCCGCGCGACCCAAGCUUCCAAAUCGGCGGGUUUUUCGCCAUUUCCGUCCAAAUUUCCGACGAAUUGAGUCAAGGUACCACUCCUAAUCAUCAUCUAGGCCUUCCCUCUUUACGUUUCACCCAAGAAUCAUUGAAUUUCGUUGUGAUUUCGCGAAGAACACCCCUACGGGUGCCGCGACCCUUUUGUUUAAAUUCUCCAAAUUUUGAAAUGUUUUCUUUUCAAUUACUAACACCUUUAGCAUUCCUUUAGGACCUAGAACAAAGCCCAAGAGGUAAUUGAGGCGUUGGAACAAGUUUGAAGGUCGAAUUGGAAACACCCAAAUUCUAGGGUUCUUCACGGUUUUGGUGAAAUUGAAGCACUUCCAGGCCAAAUUGGCCUUGGUCUCAGGUAUGAAAGUUGUUUCUACUCAUUGAGAUCUUCAAAUCUGCAAAUUUUGGUAAUUUUUGGAAAUAGUUGAAUUUUCCGGCGAGCCGGGGGCGGCCAACCGCCACCCGCGGCGGCCCGCGCGGCGGCGCGUGGCCAAUGGCCGCCAAUGUCAUUAUUAGCUUGUGAUUAAGGUUCUAGGUUCUGUUUUGAUAAUUGAUGGACGUAAAUUGAAUAAUUGAACCUAAGUUGGUUACGAUUCGGGGUUAGGUGAAAAUGUGAAUUGACGAUCCGACCGUUGGAUCGUCAUCAAACUUUGAUACGUUGUAAUACGUAAUAUUUGAGGAUUAUAGGAACUUACGGAUUGGGAAUCCGAUUUACGGAUAUUCCGGAAUUGGAAUUGUAAGUUCAUAAAAUAGAAUGUUAACCCGUCACUUAGUUUUGGAAAUUGACGGAGAUCCGACCGUUGGAUGGUAACGAAAAUUUUAGGAUGUUGUCCUAGAGGUAUAUUGUGGACCUCUGGAAGUUUCGGAUUUGAAAUCUGAAUUGCAGAUCAUCCGGAUCGAACUACGUAGUGACGUGUCUUAUAUAAGUUAUGUAUUCUAUCGGCAGGAUUUCUGAGGUUGGGUUUGAUUAUUGUUCUAGGCGCUAAUCUUCAUGACGCCUUGAUGUGUGGUGCUAGGGAGUUGUUGAGCGAACUCCAGGUGAGUGGGCAGUUUUUUGUUUUCGUAUUACCUUUAUACUAUAAAUUUUUUCCCAGAAGAUGAAUUUAUACGAAAUUAUGUUUUGAAAAUGCCAUGCAUAGAAUUAUUUGGAAAAGGUGAAUUUCACAUGAGUUAUAUGAUUGAUAUAUGAUGCAUACAUGUUGCAUGGUGCUGUGGAGGCACAGGUAAGUCAGGUGAGUUCAUUAUUCAUUUAAUUGAUUGUUGAUAAGAUGUUUCAAGCUCAUAAACCUGCACCCUAGGUGUUAGUGCUUAUUUUAUUCACCACACCGCACGCUCGCCUUGGAUCCAAGUAGGUGGAUGUCGUACAGACCAUGUGAGGGUUCCGACAUGCUAGUCGUAUAGAUCACUAGGCGUGAUUCCGACUAGUGGGUGAUCUUAGUUAUGCGCGCUGAUGAUUGAUGAGAGAAGCACUAGAGCGUAUUUUUACACCUUUCAUCGUACAGACUACCUUACGUAGUUCCGAGUGAUGUGCAGAGUAGGGCCGUAUAGGUCACUGUGGUGACUCCGGCUUAGUGAGAUAUUGAGCUAUUGAAUUAAUCGUAUAGGACCAACUGCAGGGUCUCCGAUUGAUUCCUUAUUUCACCUGAUUUAUAUUUUGAUUUAUGGCAUGGCAUGUUUUUCUUGAAAAAUGUUAAAGAUUUGGGAUUCAAGUUUUGAGAUUUCAUAUGGUUAUAUAUAUAUAUUUUUCUGAAAAGUGUUAAAGGUUUGAGAUUUGAGAUUUUUGCUUAUAUAUAUGUUUAUAUAUAUGCUAUUUUCUGGGAAAGUAUACAGGUUUUACGGUGAGGGGUUAGAAAUAUUUUAAAUGAAAAGUUUUCGAAAAACUUUGUUUUACUGACCCACUCAAUUUUGUUUUGCGCCCCUCCAGGUUCAAGUUAGCAGAGCUUUGGUGGCCACGAGGAAUCCAACGGUGUUCUGACAGAAUUCACAAAAGUAGGACUCACCCUCGGGUGUGUCAUCUUAGUAAUUGGAAAUUUUUUUUAAAGCUUCUGAACUAUGUAAAUGGUUACGUCACUCUCACGUGACGGCCAGCACGCCCUCCUUCGGGACGGGGUGUGUCAGUUGGUAUCAGAGCCUAGGUUGCAAUUCUGGACAUCUUGAGAAUUUCCUAGUGUCUUCUGUCAGAACUAUACCGCCUCAUAGCGAGCCACGUAGUUCGGAUGAGCCUAAAUUCCCUGAUAUAGUAGUUUGGGGGGAAAUUAUUGUCACUAUGAUUCAGUCUAUUAUCUAAAGGAACCUUUGAGACUGAUUAUAAGUUAAAUUUGAAUACAGACUUGCCUUGUUUCCAUUCGGGAUGUUGUUACUAAUCCGGUCGAGGUGUUAUGUCGUUUUUGGCGGGAUAAUAAGAAGAAGUGACGUUCUUUGGCGACCACAAUCCAUUGUACUUUUUUACCAGGAGUUUACGAGAUGUUGUUGGGCUUUGAGGACUUUGAGAAUAUGAUCAGCGAGAGUAAAGAAGAAUAAGAAAAGAAUGGUAAUUAGAGGAAAGGUGAGAAAGUUAAAGAUCCGUCAUAUCAAGGACGUCGAAAGACUCAGAGCUUCAAAAGAAGUGAAGUUAGAACUAAUUCUUCCAACUGAGGUUUUAGUGCCACUGGUCCGAGGCGAAGUGAUAGAUUUACGGGUGAUCCCAGAUCUUAAAGACAAGGGGUGACUCGAGUAAGGGAAAUGUACCUUUGUGCCAUAGGUAUAAUAUUAGACACUUUGGAGAGUGUGGGAAUCAGUGAAUGUGUUCAUGUGGAUGGAUGGGACAUAGAGGUAUGAAUUGUCCCUGGAAUCAGUUGUUACCCAAUAGUCUUCCUUAACAUAUCACUUGGAAAUAUUGACGAGUAAGUCGUACAGGUCACUAUAUGUGACUCCGACUUAUGUGCUAGCAUGGAUGGUCGAGUUGUAGACUCAGUCGUACAGGUCAUUCUAGCUGACUCCGGCUGAUAUAUUUCUUAUUAUGGUCGAUGUUGCCAAAGAAAGUAAUGUUGGAGCACGAUCGAGGCGUAUUUAUGUAUUUCUAAGGAAGAACAAGAUGAUAAUAUUACACCCCUCAGGAAUUGUUACUUAGUUAUCGAGACAACAGUGAGUUAUUUGUAUUGCGGGCUGCAGACCGUAAUAUUUAUAACUUAUUUGUUGGAUUCGUUAAGUAAGUAAACAAGUAAGGCACUUUAUGUUGAUUUGGUUUAUUAAGGGUGUCCAGUGAUGGUGAAAAAUGUCAUGUCAGUGAAUUUUAUUCCGUUGGAUAUUAUGGAUUUUGAGGUGAUUUUUUUUGGCACCAGUGCGUGCAGUAUAAUUGUGUCAAGCUAGAUUGCUAUGGGGAAUCAGUUAAUUUUUGUUGACCUGGAUGACCAGAGGUUACUUUUAGGGGUAAGUAAAGUGGAGUGAGUUAUGCCAUUAUUCCUGUUGAGAGAGCAAAGAAGAUUGUUAUCAAAAGGCUGCCAAGAUAUUGAGUUCAUAUGGUGCUAAAUGAUGUUGAUCCUAAUAGUAUGGAAGAUGUAAAGAUGGUUAGACAUUUUCUUGGUGUAUUCCCAGAUGACUUACCUAGAUUGCCGCCAGGCAGAGAUGUGGGUUCCAUUAUUGAAUUGUUUUUAGGUACAAAUCCUAUGUUAGAAAUUGGUUCAGGUUGAGUUAAAAGUUCCAUUCAACUUAUUAUAUCACAUUGGAAAAGCUCCGGUUUAUUUGUGAGGAAGAAAGUGGACAUUAAGGCUAGGCAUUGAUAUUAGGUAAUUGAAUCGGGUAACGAUUGAGAGCUGUUAUCCAUUGUUGUGUAUUAAUGAUUAUUUGAUCAGCUCUGAGGCGCCUGGGUACUUUCUGAGACUGACUUGAGGUCUGAAUGAUAUUAGUUGAAGAUUAACAGUGGGGAUGUCCAUAAGACUGAAUCCAGGACUCGUUAUGGUCAUUUCAAGUUGGGAUGCCAUACGGAGUGACGAAUGCACCUACUAUUUUUAUGAGCUUACUGAAGGAAGUAUUCCAGUGAUAUCUAGAUCGGUUUGUUGUUGUUGCCAUUGACGAGAUUGAUAAGAUUAGAGCAGUGCAUGCUAGAUAUUUUAAAGUUGGGUGUUGCAAAGAUUGAAGGAACGUUGAUGUAUGCUAAGUUUAGCAAAUGCUAAUGUUGGAUAAAUUAAUUAUAUCUACUUAAGGUAUUCAAGUGGAUUCUUAAAAGAGUAGCAACGAUUGAGAAUUUGGAACAAUUGCGAACCGUGACUGAGGUUUAGAGUUUUCUCGGAUUAGCAGGAUAUUGUCGAUAGUUCGUCCAAGAUUUUAAUUAUUGCUUCGCCCUUGGCGAGAUUGAUGAGAAAAGAGGUUAAGUUUGAGUGGGAUGAAAAAUUGUGAGUAGAGCUUCAGCAAGUAAAGUAUUCCCUCACUCAUGCAUCUGUUUUCGCACUCCCAAACGAUAGUGGUAAUUACGUAGUCUAUAGUAAUACUUCUUUGAAUGUUCUUGAAUGCGCGUUGAUGCAACAUGGUAGGAUGAUUGCCUAUGCUUCAUGGCCAUUGGGAUCUCAUAAGAUGAAUUACCCUAAUUAUAAUUUGGAAUUAGCAGCUAUCAUCUUUGCUUUGAGAAUUUGGAGACAUUGUCUUUAUGGGAAGAAAAGUGCAUGAUUGUUACAAAUCAAAAGAGUACCCAAUAUCUGUUUAUUCAGAGGUAUCUUAAUCUUAGGCAACAAAGGUGGAAUGAGUUGCUUAGUGAUUAUGAUUGUGUGACGAGGGUGGUCAAGCUAAUGUUGUGGCUGAUGCAUUUAGUAGGAAGACCCCAGUGAGAAUUAAUGCUUGGUAUGCUUGCUAUGUUCAUCUUCUUGUGGAUUUGAAAUCUACUGGAGUAAAGUUGAGUAUCAAAAAUCGAGAAGAAGCCUUACUUGCUAAUUUCUAAGUUGGACCCAUUUGGUAGAUCGUACUCGAUACUCAAGCGUUUGACGAAGAAAUUCAAGAAUUUAUUUAAAGCAAGGAAUAACGGGAUAAAGAAGGACCUUAGAGUUAGAGAAUCAGAUGGCAAGCUUAUGCAAGGGAACAAAGUGUUUAUGCCUAAUGGUGUGGAAUUAAAUAAAGCAAUUUUGACGAUGUACAUUAUUCCACUUCUACAAUGCAUCCCAAAAGUACUAAGAUUUAUCAUACCAUUCGUUCAUGUACUAUUGACGGGUAUGAAAAGAGGAACGGCGAAGUAUGUUAGUAGGCGUAUCAUCAGUCAUCAGGUUAAAGCAGAAAGAAAUAAGUCUUUUGGAAUAAUGUAGUCAUUUCCCAUUCCACGGCGGAAAUGGGAGAAUAUUACUAUGGAUUUCAUGGACAAGCUUCCUCGUAUACCAAAUAGUUAGGUUGGAGUUUGAAUAAUAAUUGAUUGAUUUGUGACGUCAGCGCAUGUUACUUCAGUAUGAGAACAUCAACCUUUCCAGAUAAGCGCAACAGUCAUUUAUUUGUUUUAUGGAAAAAGGAGAUUGGGAUCUGUUAAACUUCUUGGGUAUGUUGGUUCCUUCAGUUUGUUCCCUAGAGUAACGCCAUAAGGCCGUGGAAAGCUAUGUCUUGUGUUUCGAAAUUGUUAGAAUUGGGGACGGAUGAUAUUCAAGACUCUGAGUUUGGUGAAAAUUUAUGGAGGAAUCUUUCAGUGGAAGAAAACUACUUGAAAGUCAAAGAAUCGAAUGAGAGAGAUGUGUGUUUCGGGCUGUUUCAUGGAUAUUGAUGGAUUGUAAAGAUUGUGUAAAUUUCGAGGACGAAAUUUCUGUAAGGUGGGUAGAUUGUGACAGCCCGUCCCUAAUUUUAAGAAUUUUUAAAGUUUUAAUAAAGGAUUUUACAAAAAUGCCCUUCGAGGCACGCACAUCAUUCGAGGUUAAUCGUUGUGUCGUGCCAUCUAAGAUUUGUUUUCUUGACAUAUCCUCGUAGUACUCGUCGUUACGGACGUGUGGGCGCAGACGGUUCGUGAUUUGGAGUUAUAUCGAAGAAGUUAUUAACGUUUGAAAUUUGGAAUUUUAAGGAAUUAUAAUUUUAGUAAAAUAUAGAAAUUCUUUUAUGAAAUUGGACGGCCCAGAUUUAUUGAUGAAUGAAAUGGAUGGCUGGGAUGAGGGAAAGGUUUUUGGUGUGUGUAUGUGUAUGAGAAGAAGAAACAGAAAACAGAAAAGAAGAAGAGACUGGGCAGAAAUGCCCAAUCGGAGAAGAAGAAGGUGAGAGCAAACCAGAAGAAGGGAGAGGAAGAAGCUGACCAAUCAGGGGACGGAAAGGAGGGAAAGGAGGGAAAGGAGGGAGAGUGGUGCGCGGGGGAACAGGAGGAAUGGGUCACCCUUGACCCGCGCGACCCAAGCUUCCAAAUCGGCGGGUUUUCGCCAUUUCCGUCCAAAUUUCCGACGAAUUGAGUCAAGGUACCACUCCUAAUCAUCAUCUAGGCCUUCCCUCUUUACGUUUCACCCCAAGAAUCAUUGAAUUUCGUUGUGAUUUCGCGAAGAACACCCCUACGGGUGCCGCGACCCUUUUGUUUAAAUUCUCCAAAUUUUGAAAUGUUUUCUUUCAAUUACUAACACCUUUAGCAUUCCUUUAGGACCUAGAACAAAGCCCAAGAGGUAAUUGAGGCGUUGGAACAAGUUUGAAGGUCGAAUUGGAAACACCCAAAUUCUAGGGUUCUUCACGGUUUUGGUGAAAUUGAAGCACUUCCAGGCCAAAUUGGCCUUGGUCUCAGGUAUGAAAGUUGUUCUACUCAUUGAGAUCUUCAAAUCUGCAAAUUUUGGUAAUUUUUGGAAAUAGUUGAAUUUUCCGGCGAGCCGGGGCGGCCAACCGCCACCCGCGGCGGCCCGCGCGGCGGCGCGUGGCCAAUGGCCGCCAAUGUCAUUAUUAGCUUGUGAUUAAGGUUCUAGGUUCUGUUUUGAUAAUUGAUGGACGUAAAUUGAAUAAUUGAACCUAAGUUGGUUACGAUUCGGGGUUAGGUGAAAAUGUGAAUUGACGAUCCGACCGUUGGAUCGUCAUCAAACUUUGAUACGUUGUAAUACGUAAUAUUUGAGGAUUAUAGGAACUUACGGAUUGGGAAUCCGAUUUACGGAUAUUCCGGAAUUGGAAUUGUAAGUUCAUAAAAUAGAAUGUUAACCGUCACUUAGUUUUGGAAAUUGACGGAGAUCCGACCGUUGGAUGGUAACGAAAUUUUAGGAUGUUGUCCUAGAGGUAUAUUGUGGACCUCUGGAAGUUUCGGAUUUGAAAUCUGAAUUGCAGAUCAUCCGGAUCGAACUACGUAGUGACGUGUCUUAUAUAAGUUAUGUAUUCUAUCGGCAGGAUUUCUGAGGUUGGGUUUGAUUAUUGUUCUAGGCGCUAAUCUUCAUGACGCCUUGAUGUGUGGUGCUAGGGAGUUGUUGAGCGAACUCCAGGUGAGUGGGCAGUUUUGUUUUCGUAUUACCUUUAUACUAUAAAUUUUUCCCAGAAGAUGAAUUUAUACGAAAUUAUGUUUUGAAAAUGCCAUGCAUAGAAUUAUUUGGAAAAGGUGAAUUUCACAUGAGUUAUAUGAUUGAUAUAUGAUGCAUACAUGUUGCAUGGUGCUGUGGAGGCACAGGUAAGUCAGGUGAGUUCAUUAUUCAUUUAAUUGAUUGUUGAUAAGAUGUUUCAAGCUCAUAACCUGCACCCUAGGUGUUAGUGCUUAUUUUAUUCACCACACCGCACGCUCGCCUUGGAUCCAAGUAGGUGGAUGUCGUACAGACCAUGUGAGGGUUCCGACAUGCUAGUCGUAUAGAUCACUAGGCGUGAUUCCGACUAGUGGGUGAUCUUAGUUAUGCGCGCUGAUGAUUGAUGAGAGAAGCACUAGAGCGUAUUUUUACACCUUUCAUCGUACAGACUACCUUACGUAGUUCCGAGUGAUGUGCAGAGUAGGGCCGUAUAGGUCACUGUGGUGACUCCGGCUUAGUGAGAUAUUGAGCUAUUGAAUUAAUCGUAUAGGACCAACUGCAGGGUCUCCGAUUGAUUCCUUAUUUCACCUGAUUUAUAUUUUGAUUUAUGGCAUGGCAUGUUUUUCUUGAAAAAUGUUAAAGAUUUGGGAUUCAAGUUUUGAGAUUUCAUAUGGUUAUAUAUAUAUAUUUUUCUGAAAAGUGUUAAAGGUUUGAGAUUUGAGAUUUUUGCUUAUAUAUAUGUUUAUAUAUAUGCUAUUUUCUGGGAAAGUAUACAGGUUUUACGGUGAGGGGUUAGAAAUAUUUUAAAUGAAAAGUUUUCGAAAAACUUUGUUUUACUGACCCACUCAAUUUUGUUUUGCGCCCUCCAGGUUCAAGUUAGCAGAGCUUUGGUGGCCACGAGGAAUCCAACGGUGUUCUGACAGAAUUCACAAAAGUAGGACUCACCCUCGGGUGUGUCAUCUUAGUAAUUGGAAAUUUUUUUUAAAGCUUCUGAACUAUGUAAAUGGUUACGUCACUCUCACGUGACGGCCAGCACGCCCUCCUUCGGGACGGGGUGUGUCAUUAAGUCUAGUUGUUAUAAUGCUCAUCCGACUAUUAACUGAGCCUUUGCUUUGAAUUCGGUAUUAAGCCAAGUUUAGCAUUUUAAUAGUAUAAUUAUAAUAAUAAAGUACCUUGAAUAUGGAAGUCAUCAACAACUAAAGCACACACUUGUUUAAUUUGUAUGAACACUGUAUAUUAUUGUUUUUGUAGACCCUGUCAACCACAACCAGUAAGAAUAUAUUAUCCUAGACACCUAACUAUAACUAGCAUAAAAAGAAGAUUAGCCUAUAUUUCUAACUAUAACUAGCAUAACAAGAAU